UCUGCGCUGCCCCGGCAGGCGCAGGCGGCACCUGCAAGUCUGCGGCGGCUGGCUGACCUGACACUUGGCAGGCUAAGCUCGCUGCCGAGGCCUCCCGGGCUCGGGGCGGUGGCUACGGGGCCGCCAGAAUACAGCAGAGAGCAACCGUCUUUGCAGUGUGUUUACAGGGACCUCUCAGAAUCUGGCAGUGUUCGGCCAAGGACCAGCAUCUUUGUCAGAAACGCUGUCCCCUAUACUGCCAGCGCGUCCGCAGCACCAGGCUGACCUGCGACUGUGGUGCAAACAAGCAUCAUGUCACCAAUGCAGAUGCCACCUGGGGCUGCAAGGGACGGGGCGCGGCUGCUGAGGAGCACGUGAGGCGCGUUCCGGCCAGGCCCAGCGCCUCUAGCUCAGCGUGCAGACUCGGGCUGCGUUAGGGUGAAACACCUUUUCAGGGACAGAAGUAGGACGUCUCUCUUUGUCGGCAGUCCGUGGAAGCCGUCCUAAGUCAGCCAGCUGUUGCGCUCACACGGACCUGGACACGCUCCCUCACUGGGUCGUGCUGGCCCCCCAGUCCUCCACCCGGUGGCCCUGCUGCUGUUGGAGAGGUGGCUCGUGUCUCUGGCUGUCCUAAAGCCGGGACUUUCGGGAGGGGAGGUUGUAGGCAGGAAGAGCUUUAGACCCCAGCUCCCAGCAUGGCCUGUCCUCACUGGGUGCGUGACACACCUUCCUGUCCCCUGCCCUCUCCUGUUGGCCUGUGUGAGGUCUCCACUCCAUCAGUGUGGUUGCCAGGAGUCGGAGGUUAGGACAGCACACAUUUCACGUGGCGCUCUGGACAGAAUCCGGUGUGUCGCCCUCCCCCACCCAUCCAUUUCAGCCUUAACCCUCAGUUUCUGUAUAUGGGGGUAGGGUCUACGGGAGCCAGGAGGGCCUGGGCAGAGUGUAGGCUGGGGCCCUAAUCCAACAGGCCUGAUGUCCCCCGAGAAGAGGAAAAGCCCCCGAGCUAUUGGCUUGCUCUUCCCAGGCACACACGGACCGAGGUGAUGGGGUGCAUAGUGUAACAGUAGCCAUCUGCAGGCCAGGAGAGCCGUGCCGGAAGGCAGCACCUGGGACCGGGGCUGCAGCCUCCAGAAUUGUGGGGAGGGAACCUCGUCUGCAGGACCUCCAAGGCCGCGUGUGGUUGCGGCAGCGCAUGCGCGCUGAUCAGGCCGGUCCCGCCAGGCCCCCUUAGCACAAGCCUCCUUGGGCACUGGCCUCUGAGUAUGCGGCCACCCUGAGUUGUGGGCUCCCGCCCAUGGGAAGCUUGGAGUGCACCUCCUUUCCUACAGCUUCUAAGGGCUUUUCACACCAUCUUUCUAAUCUCCGUUUAUUGCUUCUUUCCCUUUCUUUUGGGAAAAAAUAAAGACUCCUUGCUUCAGGAGGCUCUGUCCUGCCAAGCGGCUAAGCUGUGUGCUCUUCACGCAGCGGGUCCUAAUGUGAUACCCGAGGAGGUCACUGGCCACACCUGAGUGCCCAGAACCGAGGAGCGGGUGCCGGGACUGCUGAGCGUCGGGGCCCCAACCCUGCUCUGGUCCACACAGGAUCUGGACAGGUACACCUCCGUGUCCCGGCGCCAUGCCCCAAGC